rnacentral:rRNA from 1 species
AGACGUCUACAUUAGAUACCCCCGUAGUCCCAGCCGUAAACUAUGCGCGUUAGGUGUAUCGGUGACCACGAGUUACCGAGGUGCCGAAGGGAAACCGUGAAACGUGCCGCCUGGGAAGUACGGUCGCAAGGCUGAAACUUAAAGGAAUUGGCGGGGAGCACCACAACGGGUGGAGCCUGCGGUUUAAUUGGACUCAACGCCGGAAAUCUCACCGGAUAAGACAGCAGAAUGAUUGCCGGGCUGAAGACUCUGCAUGACUAGCUG